rnacentral:tRNA from 1 species
GGACCGAUGGCGAAGUUGGCUAACGCGGCGAUCUGCAAAAUCGUCAAUCGCAGGUUCGAUUCCUGCUCGGUCCU